rnacentral:sRNA from 1 species
GGGUUACUCCUUUGCGCUUUCAGCGCUCAAUUUGAUAAAGAUUCGCACCUCUAUCAAACCGGGUAACCCCGCUUUUCGCAAGGCCCUACUGUCAGAUUAAAUCUGAACUACUACAGAUAAAGUCUAUAGGUUGGAAUUACAAUCUGCAUACUCUCGUCUGAACAUUAUCGUUACAAUAAUACCAAAUGCAU